rnacentral:rRNA from 1 species
GAAUAUUGCACAAUGGGGGAAACCCUGAUGCAGCAACGCCGCGUGAGUGAUGAAGGUCUUCGGAUCGUAAAGCUCUGUCUUCAGGGACGAUAAUGACGGUACCUGAGGAGGAAGCCCCGGCUAACUACGUUCCAGCAGCCGCGGUAAUACGUAGGUGGCGAGCGUUGUCCGGAUUUACUGGGCGUAAAGGGAGCGUAGGCGGAUUUUUAAGUGAGAUGUGAAAUACCCGGGCUCAACUUGGGUGCUGCAUUUCAAACUGGAAGUCUAGAGUGCAGGAGAGGAGAGUGGAAUUCCUAGUGUAGCGGUGAAAUGCGUAGAGAUUAGGAAGAACACCAGUGGCGAAGGCGACUCUCUGGACUGUAACUGACGCUGAGGCUCGAAAGCGUGGGGAGCAAACAG